UAUUAGUCUUUUAAUUGAAGGCUUGAAUGAAUGAUUGGAUGAAAAAUUAACUUUAUUAAUAUAAAUAAUUUAAAUUAUAUUUUAAGUAAAAAUUCUUAAAUAAAUAAGUGUGACGAGAAGACCCUAUAGAGUUUAAUUUAAUUUUAUAAUAUAAAAUUAAAGAAUUGAUAUUUUUAUAAUGUAAAAUUAAAUUUUAUUGGGGUGAUAUUAAAAAUUAUAUAACUUUUAAUUAAUUUUUCAUUAAUUUAUGUUUAAUUGAUCCAAUAUUUUUGAUUAAAAGAUUAAAUUACCUUAGGGAUAACAGCGUAAUUAAUUUGGAGAGUUCAAAUCGAUAAAUUAGUUUGCGGCCUCGAUG
rnacentral:rRNA from 1 species